rnacentral:rRNA from 1 species
GACGAACGCUGGCGGCGUGCCUAAUACAUGCAAGUCGAGCGGACCGAAGGGAGCUUUCUCCUUUAGGUUAGCGGCGGACGGGCGAGUAACACGCGGGCAACUUGCCCUGCAGACUGGGAUAACUUCGGGAAACCGGAGCUAAUACCGGAUAACACCGAAAUCCGCAUGGUUUUCGGUUGAAAGGCGGCUUUUAGCUGUCACUGCAGGAUGGGCCCGCGGCGCAUUAGCUAGUUGGUGAGGUAACGGCUCACCAAGGCGACGAUGCGUAGCCGACCUGAGAGGGUGACCGGCCACACUGGGACUGAGACACGGCCCCGACUCCUACGGGAGGCAGCAGUAGGGAAUUUUUCGCAAUGGACGAAAGUCUGACGGAGCAACGCCGCGUGAGCGAAGAAGGUCUUCGGAUCGUAAAGCUCUGUUGUCAGGGAAGAACAAGUACCGUUCGAACAGGGCGGUACCUUGACGGUACCUGACGAGGAAGCCACGGCUAACUACGUGCCAGCAGCCGCGGUAAUACGUAGGUGGCAAGCGUUGUCCGGAAUUAUUGGGCGUAAAGCGCGCGCAGGCGGUUCCUUAAGUCUGAUGUGAAAUCUCGCGGCUCAACCGCGAGCGGCCAUUGGAAACUGGGGAACUUGAGUGCAGGAGAGGGGAGCGGAAUUCCACGUGUAGCGGUGAAAUGCGUAGAGAUGUGGAGGAACACCAGUGGCGAAGGCGGCUCUCUGGCCUGUAACUGACGC